UUUUAGAAUGCGACAGGGAUUGAAGCGAUAUCCUUUUGUGGAGCGUACUAGCGAACAAAAGAUAAAGCGGAAAGCCCGCUUGGUC
rnacentral:sRNA from 1 species